GCCAGCGUGGUAUAGUGGUUUGAGUGUUGGACUACCACUCUGGAGACCUGGGUUUGAUUCCCCAAUCUGCCA
rnacentral:tRNA from 1 species